rnacentral:rRNA from 1 species
AAGAGCAUUUGAAACAGCAAGACUUGAGUACAGGAGAGGAAAGCGGAAUUCCUGGUGUAGAGGUGAAAUUCGUAGAUAUCAGGAGGAACACCCAUGGCGAAGGCAGCUUUCUGGACUGAUACUGACGCUGAGGCGCGAAGGUGUGGGUAGCGAACAGGAUUAGAUACCCUGGUAGUCCACACAGUAAACGAUGUUCACUAGGUGUAGCGGAUAGUAAAAUCUGCUGUGCCGGAGCUAACGCAUUAAGUGAACCGCCUGGGGAGUACGGUCGCAAGAUUAAAACUCAAAGGAAUUGACGGGGGCCCGCACAAGCGGUGGAGCAUGUGGUUUAAUUCGACGCAACGCGAAGAACCUUACCUGGGUUUGACAUCCUGUGAAUCCCCGAGAGAUCG